GUUUAAUACUAAAUUGUGAACAUGUCAUUAAUAAGUAAGACAUACCAUUCAAAGUUUCUUUUACCACGUUUCUUGAAAAACGUGUUCCAAUAUUCAACUUGGCUAAAUUCUUCGUGUGUUUUUGGAAUAUAGGUUGGAUAAAACAGGAAGAAAGG